UACCGAGUUUACAACUCCCAUACCCCCUGUGAACGUUACCAAACUGUUGCCUCGGCGGGAACUCAGCCCCGGGUGCGUCGCACCCCCCGCCCCAGGGGCCCGCCGGAGGACCUACCAUUAACUCUUUUGUAUACCCCCUCGCGGGUUUUUAUAUCUGAUCCAUCUCGGCGCCUCUGGUACGGGUUUCGAAGAUGAACCCAAACUUUCAACAACGGAUCUGUUGGUUCUGGAAUCCAUGAAAAACUCAAAUAAUUGAAAUAACUUUGGGGAAUUGCAGAAUUCGGUGAAUCUGCCAGUCUUUGAACGCACAUUGCGCCCGCCACCAUUCUGGUGGGCAUGCCUGUCCGAGCGUCAUUUCAACCCUCCAACCCCUCCGGGGGGUCGGCGUUGGGGAUCGGCCCUUUACUGGGCCGGCCCCGAAAUACACAGCUGGUCUCUGGACAGCCUCUCCUGCACACCAGAUUGCCCUCUCCUAUCGAGAGCGCACCUCGUCCAUUGCCGUAAAACACCCUGAUUUCUGAAAUGUUGACCUCGGAUCAAGAAGGAAUACCCGCUGAACUUAUCCAUAUCAAUAAGCGAAGGAAAAGAAACUCACAGGGAUUGCCCCAGUAACGGCGAGUGAACAACAGCUCAUUUGAAAUCUGGCCCUCUCCAGUUGUAAUUUGUACAGGAUGCUUUUGGAGAGGUGCCCUCGAUUUCCCUGGAUCGGGACUCCACAUAUUUGAGAGCCCCGUCUGGCUG
rnacentral:rRNA from 1 species